rnacentral:rRNA from 1 species
AACGAACGCUGGCGGCAGGCUUAACACAUGCAAGUCGAACGGUUGUAGCAAUACAGCAGUGGCAGACGGGUGAGUAACACGUGGGAACCUUCCUAGGGGUACGGAACAACUCAGGGAAACUUGAGCUAAUACCGUAUACGUCCGUGAGGAGAAAGAUUUAUCGCCCCUAGACGGGCCCGCGUAGGAUUAGGUAGUUGGUGAGGUAACGGCUCACCAAGCCUACGAUCCUUAGCUGAUCUGAGAGGAUGGUCAGCCACACUGGGACUGAGACACGGCCCAGACUCCUACGGGAGGCAGCAGUGGGGAAUCUUGGACAAUGGGCGCAAGCCUGAUCCAGCCAUGCCGCGUGAGUGAAGAAGGCCUUCGGGUUGUAAAGCUCUUUUACCAGGGACGAUAAUGACGGUACCUGGAGAAUAAGCCCCGGCAAACUUCGUGCCAGCCGCCGCGGUAA